UACAGAGGUCCCAAGCGUUGUUCGGAUUCACUGGGCGUAAAGGGUGCGUAGGUGGUGAGGUAAGUCGGAUGUGAAAUCUCUGAGCCUAACUCAGAAACUGCAUUGGAAACUACCUUGCUUGAGGAUUGGAGGGGGGACUGGAAUUCUCGGUGUAGCAGUGAAAUGCGUAGAGAUCGAGAGGAACACCAGUGGCGAAGGCGAGUCCCUGGACAAUACCUGACGCUGAGGCACGAAAGCUAGGGGAGCAAACAGGAUUAGAUACCCUGGUAGUCCUAGCCGUAAACGGUGUACACUUGCUGUAAGCGGAAUCGACCCCGCUUGUGGCGAAGCAAACGCGUUAAGUGUACCGCCUGGGAAGUACGGUCGCAAGAUUAAAACUCAAAG
rnacentral:rRNA from 1 species